AUUUUUAUCUGAAUUUUUUAUUUUAAUAUGAUUAAUUUAAAAUCAAAAAUAAAAAAAUGUAUUAGACUAUUAAUUAUUCGGGGACCGGGGACCCUCGGGGAUCCCCUGUUAUUAUUCGGGGAGGGGAUGUGGAUUCUCUCAAACAAUUCUGACGGGGACGGGGAGGAGACGGUGACAUACGCAAAAUAUCGGGGAUGGGUAUAGAGAGAUUGGUCCCCUCCCCUCCCCUCCUCAUUGCCAUCCCUAUUGCCCAGAUCUCAAAGAUCUAAGAUUAAGGUACGUCUUCAUUAUCAUUUCUGUUAUUACGUAUGUUUUGGAUUAGAUACUUAGAAAAUUUUAUGUUUAAUUUAC
rnacentral:lncRNA from 1 species